UACGUAGGGGGCGAGCGUUGUCCGAAGUUACUGGGCGUAAAGAGUACGUAGGUGGCUUGUUAAGAUACAUCUGAAAGGUGACAGCUCAACUGUCAAUGGUGGUGUAAGACUGGCAGGCUUGAGGCAAGCAGAAGAGUGUGGAACUCCGAGUGUAGCGGUGGAAUGCGUAGAGAUCGGGAGGAACACCAGUGGCGAAGGCGGCUACCUGGACCAGCACUGACACUGAGGCACGAAAGCGUGGGGAGCAAACAGG
rnacentral:rRNA from 1 species